rnacentral:rRNA from 1 species
AUUGAACGCUGGCGGCAGGCCUAACACAUGCAAGUCGAACGGGUGGCGGACGUGUGAGUACUGUCUGGGACACUGCCUGGUGGAGGGGGAUGACUACUGGAAACUGUUACUAAUACCGCAUACCAUCAGAUGUGCCCAGAUGGGUUUGGCUUGUUGGUGGGGUAACGGCUCACCAAGGCGACGAUCCCUAGCUGGGCUGAGAGGAUGACCAGCAACACUGGAAAUGAGACACGGUCCAGACUCCUACGGGAGGCAGCAGUGGGGAAUAUUGCACAAUGGGCGAAAGCCUGAUGCAGCCAUGCCGCGUGUAUGAAGAAGGCCUUCGGGUUGUAAAGUACUUUCAGCGGGGAGGCGUUACCCGCAGAAGAAGCACCGGCUAACUCCGUGCCAGCAGCCGCGGUAAUAC